rnacentral:rRNA from 1 species
GUCCAGGACGAACGCUGGCGGCGUGCUUCAUACAUGCAAGUCGAACGAUAAGGUCUCUUCGGAGAUACAUAAGUGGCGGACGGGUGAGUAAUGUGUAGAGAAUCUGCCCUUUAGUGGGGGACAACAGAGGGAAACUUCUGCUAAUACCCCAUAUGCGCGUAGCUGAGAUGCUAUUCGUGAAAACUCCGGUGCUAAAGGAUGAGUCUGCAUCUGAUUAGCUAGUAGGCGGUGUAAUGGACCACCUAGGCGACGAUCAGUAGCUGGUUUGAGAGGAUGAUCAGCCACAAUGGGACUGAGACACGGCCCAUACUCCUACGGGAGGCAGCAGUAGGGAAUUUUGCGCAAUGGGGGAAACCCUGACGCAAGCAACGCCGCGUGAAUGAAGAAGCCCUUCGGGGUGUAAAGUUCUGUCAGUGGGGACGAAACUUGACGGUACCCACAGAGGAAGCAUCGGCUAACUCCGUGCCAGCAGCAGC